AGCGAACGCUGGCGGCAGGCUUAACACAUGCAAGUCGAGCGGACCUUUCGGGGUCAGCGGCGGACGGGUGAGUAACGCGUGGGAACGUGCCUUCCGGUUCGGAAUAACCCUGGGAAACUAGGGCUAAUACCGGAUACGCCCUUAUGGGGAAAGGUUUACUGCCGGAAGAUCGGCCCGCGUCUGAUUAGCUAGUUGGUGGGGUAACGGCCUACCAAGGCGACGAUCAGUAGCUGGUCUGAGAGGAUGAUCAGCCACACUGGGACUGAGACACGGCCCAGACUCCUACGGGAGGCAGCAGUGGGGAAUAUUGGACAAUGGGCGCAAGCCUGAUCCAGCCAUGCCGCGUGAGUGAUGAAGGCCUUAGGGUUGUAAAGCUCUUUUAUCCGGGACGACAAUGACGGUACCGGAGGAAUAAGCCCCGGCUAACUUCGUG
rnacentral:rRNA from 1 species